rnacentral:lncRNA from 1 species
AUGGAAACAAGAAGAUGAUGAAGAACACACAAACUGAGAACAACAUGGAGGCGGGCACCGGCUCUCUUUUUCCAAUAACACAGAGUCUGAGAUUAUUAUGUCAGCUACUCGGGCUGUUCAGCUGCUUCACCGGUACUUCUCUUUUUUCAUUUGGAAUAAAAUGUUUCGCUAGUCCAAUUGCCUUUCUCAGCAAAACCUCAACUGUGAUCCACGUCCAAGCCCUUCGCAUGAAAAUCUCCUUCAAAAACAUGCCCUCAAACCAGUUCAAAAUGAUUGUGGCCCUCGGACAAAACAGGUUGGACACUGCAGAUUUGCAUGAUCUCCACCGGAGCAAAUACGUUCUUGCAAGGAUGUUUCACUGGAGUCAGGAGAAUUCAGACGAGACUCAUUGUGAUUGUGCCCCAACGUGACAGCCAGCGGCUGAAGGUCCGCGGGAGAAACACGGCGGCUCCCUCGCGGCUGCGCCUCGGAAGAAAGGUAUUCCCAAGCACCCACGUGUGUCGCGGCCCGAGGGCGCAAGAAGAAUGGCAGGAGAGUGGAAGACGACGAGGAAGCGGGAGCGAGAGUGCCCUUGCCCUCUAAUCUUCAGGUGAGAUGUGCACUUGCAGUUGUCUCUGGGGCCAGACUAAUGAGUGGGGACAGGCACUAAUGGAGACAGGCAGAGGACCAGCAGUGCAGGGGGGCGUGUCAAAGCCACCGGAACCUUCUGCUUAUGAGUGAUUGGCAGACAGGUAACAACCCAGAUUGACAUCUCUGUGGGCCAGACUCUGUGGCACCUGACAGUGUCAUCGCUGGUCUCUGACUCAUUUUAGGGAUGUAAAUUACAGUUGUAAACUUUUGUUCGUCUGUAACAAUACCCCUCCUGGCAUGCUCGACAACAACAGCAACAAAAGGGGAGAAAAAGGACAAGGCGGAAAAACCAAAGGCUAUUUACAGGUGAUUUGCUGCCUGCGCUGAGAUGACAUUAAUUAUGUUCCAGAUCUAUCAUCACUACUCACUCAUUUGUCUGAAACCUUUUUUCCGGAAUGAGCACGUUGCCCCAGUGCCAAAGCCGUCUGGGCAAUGCAAUAAUAUGCUUUGACACCCCUAUUUUAACCAUUUCAUCCAAGGCUGAGUUGCAAAACAUCCUCACGGGGUCAAAACAGCAAUUUGGUCUCUGGGACAGAACUGAUGCUUAAUGAAACCGACAGUGGCCGUGCUCGGCGUUAACUGCCGUUGUUGGAAAACGCAG